rnacentral:tRNA from 2 species
GCUGAUAUGGCUCAGUUGGUAGAGCGCACCCUUGGUAAGGGUGAGGUCCCCAGUUCGACUCUGGGUAUCAGCACC